rnacentral:rRNA from 1 species
GAUGAACGCUGACAGAAUGCUUAACACAUGCAAGUCAACUUGAAUUUGGGUUUUUAACUUAGGUUUGGGUGGCGGACGGGUGAGUAACGCGUAAAGAACUUGCCUCACAGGUAGGGACAACAUUUGGAAACGAAUGCUAAUACCUAAUAUUAUGAUAAUAGGGCAUCCUAUAAUUAUGAAAGCUAUAAGCGCUGUGAGAGAGCUUUGCGUCCCAUUAGCUAGUUGGAGAGGUAACGGCUCACCAAGGCGAUGAUGGGUAGCCGGCCUGAGAGGGUGAUCGGCCACAAGGGGACUGAGACACGGCCCUUACUCCUACGGGAGGCAGCAGUGGGGAAUAUUGGACAAUGGACCAAGAGUCUGAUCCAGCAAUUCUGUGUGCACGAUGAAGUUUUUCGGAAUGUAAAGUGCUUUCAGUUGGGAAGAAAGAAAUGACGGUACCAACAGAAGAAGUGACGGCUAAAUACGUGCCAGCAGCCGCGGUAAUACGUAUGUCACGAGCGUUAUCCGGAUUUAUUGGGCGUAAAGCGCGUCUAGGUGGUUAUGUAAGUCUGAUGUGAAAAUGCAGGGCUCAACUCUGUAUUGCGUUGGAAACUGUAUAACUAGAGUACUGGAGAGGUAAGCGGAACUACAAGUGUAGAGGUGAAAUUCGUAGAUAUUUGUAGGAAUGCCGAUGGGGAAGCCAGCUUACUGGACAGAUACUGACGCUGAAGCGCGAAAGCGUGGGUAGCAAACAGG